rnacentral:rRNA from 1 species
AGAGUUUGAUCCUGGCUCAGAACGAACGCUGGCGGCGCGUUUUAAGCAUGCAAGUCGAACGGUAGAGAGGUGCUUGCACCUCUUGAGAGUGGCGGACGGGUGAGUAACACGUAGGUGAUCUACCUUUGGGUUGGGGAUAGCCUGUGGAAACACAGGGUAAUACCGGAUACGACCUUUGCACUGUGGUGUAGAGGGGAAAGGCGCAUUAUGCGCCGCCCGAAGAUGAGCCUGCGGUCCAUUAGCUUGUUGGUGGGGUAAGAGCCCACCAAGGCGACGAUGGAUAGCCGGCCUGAGAGGGUGAUCGGCCACACUGGGACUGAGACACGGCCCAGACUCCUACGGGAGGCAUCAGCUAAGAAUCUUCCGCAAUGGGCGCAAGCCUGACGGAGCGACGCCGCGUGGAUGAAGAAGGCCGGAAGGUUGUAAAGUCCUUUUCCUGGGGGAGAAUAAUACCUGGAGGGAAUGCCAGGUAGAUGACGUGAACCAGGGAAUAAGCCCCGGCUAAUAUACGUGCCAGCAGCCGCGGUAACACGUAAGGGGCGAGCGUUGUUCGGAUUUAUUGGGCGUAAAGGGCGUGUAGGCGGUGGUGCAAGUCUGGUGUGAAAUCCCCCGGCUCAACCGGGGAGAUGCGCUGGAAACUGUGCUACUAGAGUCUAGGAGGGGGAGCUGGAAUUCCUGGUGUAGGGGUGAAAUCUGUAGAUAUCAGGAAGAACACCGGUGGCGAAGGCGAGCUCCUGGCCAUAGACUGACGCUGAGGCGCGAAAGCGUGGGGAGCGAACAGGAUUAGAUACCCUGGUAGUCCACGCCGUAAACGAUGUGCACUAGGUGUUGGCACAGAGCGUGUCAGUGCCGCAGCAAACGCGAUAAGUGCACCGCCUGGGGAGUAUGCUCGCAAGGGUGAAACUCAAAGGAAUUGACGGGGGCCCGCACAAGCGGUGGAGCAUGUGGUUUAAUUCGAUAGUACGCGAGGAACCUUACCAGGGCUUGACAUAUAGCGGACGGCUGUAGAGAUACAGCUUCCCUUCGGGGCUGCUAUACAGGUGCUGCAUGGCUGUCGUCAGCUCGUGCUGUGAAGUGUUGGGUUAAGUCCCGCAACGAGCGCAACCCUUGCUGUCUGUUACCAUCAGGUAAUGCUGGGGACUCAGACGGUACUGCCGGUGACAAACCGGAGGAAGGUGGGGACGACGUCAAGUCAUCAUGGCCCUUAUGUCCUGGGCUACACACGUGCUACAAUGGUCGGUACAGAGCGGUGCGAAACCGCGAGGUGGAGCAAAUCGCAGAAAGCCGGUCUCAGUACGGAUUGGAGUCUGAAACCCGACUUCAUGAAGGUGGAAUCGCUAGUAAUCGCGCAUCAGCAUGGCGCGGUGAAUAUGUUCCCGGGCCUUGUACACACCGCCCGUCACACCACCCGAGUUGGGGGUACCCGAAGUCGCUAGUCUAACCAGCAAUGGGGGACGGUGCCGAAGGUAUGCCUGGUAAGGGGGGUGAAGUCGAAACAAGGUA